CCCUUAGAUGUUCUGGGCCGCACGCGCGCUACACUGACGGUGUCAACGAGUAUUUCCUUCGCCGGAAGGCGUGGGUAAUCUUUUGAAACAUCGUCGUGCUGGGGAUAGAUCAUUGCAAUUAUUGAUCUUGAACGAGGAAUUCCUAGUAAGCGCGAGUCAUCAGCUCGCGUUGAUUACGUCCCUGCCCUUUGUACACACCGCCCGUCGCUACUACCGAUUGAAUGGUUUAGUGAGGCCUCCUGAUUGGCGCCGCCGCCCCGGCAACGGAGCAGUGGAUUGUCGAAAAGUUGGUCAAACUUGAUCAUUUAGAGGAAGUAAAAGUCGUAACA
rnacentral:rRNA from 1 species